AUGCAAGUCUGUUUCCAGACUCUCCGCAGCUUGUUUGUGCACAAAGUUCUCAGAGGAUCCAGGGAAAAUAAUUUAAAUUAUGCUGUUGAUGUGAGUCCAAGUCAUUGGCUCCCUCUUCCCUUCCGUUGGCUCCUUGUCUCUGUUUCUUUUCCCUCAGGUCAGAGAGAACAAAGAAAGAAUGGGAGGAAUAAUCCAUUGAAAGAUGAUACUCUGCUGCCUUAGUGGAGAGAGUACGUAUUCCUGGAAACAGAAACAUGUGGUAGCAGUAAGGUUUGAGUCUUCAAGGCUUUGAUGAAUUUCAGCAGUUGUCAGAUUUACUGUUUGUUGUUUAGUGAAAACAGAGCCCCUUCAUAUGGUAAAUAGUAAAAACUUAAGUUUGUAUGGGACAGGCCAUGAUGUGUCAGACAAUGACUUUAGGUGGA
rnacentral:lncRNA from 12 species